CUCCUCCUCCUCCCUCUACUCCUCUGCGCGCCGCGCGCCUCCCGCCCUCGCGGCCGCCCGGCCGGGCUCCGCUCGCAGAUAUAUGGAGGCGGCGGCGGCGGCGCGGGGGAGGGGGCGGGGGCGCGAUCGAUGGAAUAUAAUUUUCCUCAAACUCGGAAAAUAAAGUUCAGAGCUGAUCAAAUUUGAAAACAGAUGUCGAAUCGCGACUCUAAAUAAGAGGACGCGCGGACAAACGGACAGGCGCGAGGUGGAGGUGGCGACGAUGCGGCCAGGACCCCUGCUGGACACGCAAACCUGGACCGGGACUGGAACACGGAUCCGCACACACGCAGCCUGGAUAGGAGACACACGGACAGAGGAACAUAUGGAUACAGUAAGACAGUCAGGCUCCACCCCGCCAAGCCCCACACCACCUUCUCUGGGGAAAGGCAGCUCUCACCUGGGCAGCCUGUGGAGGCUCCUACCCCCAGAGGGGAAAAUAGGUCUCACGGCAAGACAGCAGUCCCCAGGUGGAUAUACGGGGGCCAGGACAGCUCUGUGGGAUCUCACCAACCCCACCAGUGCCCAGGUGCUGAGACCCAGGUGCUGAGAGGCUAGAAGAGAACUUCGGCCCUGCCUGACAAACAGGGUUCAGCCUCACUCCCGCUCACCACUCAAUCAGGCAAGUCGCUAAACAUCCCCGAGCCUCAAGUUUCCUCAUCUGCAAAAUGGGACAAUAAUGACCUCCCUCCUAGAGUGGCUGGGAGGGUUAAACCGCAGGGCACAUGGAGCACAGCUGGUACCUCACCAAGUACCAAGUAAACACGCAUUUGCUGUGAGCUUGCUGCUUCCGAAUAAUCUCAUUAAAAAUAUUAAGAAUUUUGCCAGA